rnacentral:rRNA from 1 species
UACAGAGGGGGCAAGCGUUGUUCGGAAUUACUGGGCGUAAAGGGCGCGUAGGCGGCCUGUUAAGUCGGACGUGAAAUCCCUCGGCUCAACCGGGGAACUGCGUCCGAUACUGGCGGGCUUGAAUUCGGGAGAGGGAUGUGGAAUUCCAGGUGUAGCGGUGAAAUGCGUAGAUAUCUGGAGGAACACCGGUGGCGAAGGCGGCAUCCUGGACCGACAUUGACGCCGAGGCGCGAAAGCCAGGGGAGCAAACGGG